rnacentral:lncRNA from 1 species
UUUCCCGAUAGGGUUUUUUUUGCGGAGUUUGUGUCUUUUUAGCUUUGGGUUCGAUGUUUUUGUUCGAUUAAUCGUUUUGUAGGGAUAAAAAAAAGCCUCAUAACAAUAGGAACGGGAAAAAAAAUUGCUAACCGAAAUGAAUCCGCCCAAAAAAUUAAAAACCUACGCGCGAGUUUGACUCGAAAGUAUGGGGUGUGACAACUUUCUUUAUUGACACGACAGCAAUGUUGGGUCUUGUAUGUUGACAUAUUGAUUCUUGAAUGUGGAGGGAACUCUUAUGAUGCAGUGUCAUUGGCUGAGAAAUCGGCUCUUUUUUUGCAACACAAAUUCCAUCUAUUAAAAUAGCAACCAUGGACGGAUAUCAACCUGAUGUGCAGCUCUCAGAUGAUCUUUAUGAUACCAAGAGACUAAACACAGAGAACAUUCCUUGUGUACUGACUUUGAUGAAGAUUGGAAACCAUUUCCUAGUAGUUCCAACACCAAAAUGAAAAUGCUGCAGCUUUUCUGGUAUUAAAAUGAUUACUGCUGUUAGGAAAAUUGACAGUUGUAAGACAUCAGCUAUGAUAUUCUUAAAGAUGGAACUUUUAGAGAAAUAACAUUUAAGCGAUUAUAUAAAUCUUCCAAGAGUUCACCUUUACUUAUCUCUUCGUAACCUAGGUUGACUAUAUAAUUUCUUUACCAUCGCCCCUUGUCUGAAUUAAAGUGCUUUUGGUAUAAAAAAGAAACGGCAAAUAAAGCGGCAAUUCAAGCAUU